GUCCUCAUGGGGAAGUUGAUUCCAUGACU
rnacentral:piRNA from 1 species